rnacentral:rRNA from 1 species
UACCAGCACCCCGAGUGGUCGGGACGAUUAUUGGGCCUAAAGCAUCCGUGGCCGGUCCUACAAGUCUUCCGUUAAAUCCACCUGCUUAACAGAUGGGCUGCGGAAGAUACUAUAGGGCUAGGAGGCGGGAGAGGCAAGCGGUACUCAGUGGGUAGGGGUAAAAUCCUCUGAUCCAUUGAAGACCACCAGUGGCGAAGGCGGCUUGCCAGAACGCGCUCGACGGUGAGGGAUGAAAGCUGGGGGAGCAAACCGG